rnacentral:misc_RNA from 1 species
AUGUCAUGUUCUUUUGACUUUUAGAAGCUCUCGUGGACUGAUGAGCUUACUAUUUGAUUUGAGCGCUAGUAAAACCUGUAGGUAGUAAUUACUCAACUCAUUUCUUCACAUUUCGAUGCAUUAUUUUGAUAAAAUGAGUUACCAGAGUUAAAAUGUUUGUAGAGAAAGCUCAGUGCAUAAACUUUCCUCUUUUCCCCCAAGAGUUCUCAUGUAUCUCAUAUUCUGUUUUUUAUUUGUUUAAAGUGAUCCCCAUUCCCCAUUCCCCCUA